GAGUUUGAUCCUGGCUCAGAUUGAACGCUGGCGGUAGGCUUAACACAUGCAAGUCGUGCGAGAAAGUAUCUUCGGAUAUGAGUAGAGCGGCGGACGGGUGAGUAACGCGUAGGAAUCUACCUAGUAGAAGGGGAUAGCCCGAGGAAACUCGGAUUAAUACCGUAUACCUCCUUCGGGAGAAAGAAGGCCUCUCUUUGAAGCUUUCGCUACUAGAUGAGCCUGCGUAAGAUUAGCUUGUUGGUGAGGUAAAGGCUCACCAAGGCUACGAUCUUUAGCGGGUCUGAGAGGACGAUCCGCCACAUUGGGACUGAGACACGGCCCAGACUCCUACGGGAGGCAGCAGUGGGGAAUAUUGGACAAUGGGCGCAAGCCUGAUCCAGCCAUACCGCGUGUGUGAAGAAGGCCCUAGGGUUGUAAAGCACUUUAAGUUGGGAAGAAAAGUUAUUGGCUAAUACCCAAUGACCGUGACAUUACCAUCAGAAUAAGGACCGGCUAAUUCCGUGCCAGCAGCCGCGGUAAUACGGAAGGUCCAAGCGUUAAUCGGAAUUACUGGGCGUAAAGCGCGCGUAGGUGGUUUAUUAAGUUGGAUGUGAAAUCCCCGGGCUCAACCUGGGAACUGCAUCCAAAACUGAUUCACUAGAGUACGAUAGAGGGAGGUAGAAUUCACAGUGUAGCGGUGGAAUGCGUAGAUAUUGUGAAGAAUGCCAAUGGCGAAGGCAGCCUCCUGGAUCUGUACUGACACUGAGGUGCGAAACGUGGGGUAGCGAACAGGAUUAGAUACCCUGGUAGUCCACGCCGUAAACGAUGUCAACUAGCUGUUGGAAAGCAUUGCUUUUCAGUGGCGCACGUAACGUAUAAAGUUG
rnacentral:rRNA from 1 species